rnacentral:rRNA from 1 species
CCCCAGUAACGGCGAGUGAAGCGGCAACAGCUCAAAUUUGAAAUCUGGCCCCCAGGCCCGAGUUGUAAUUUGCAGAGGAUGCUUUUGGCGCGGUGCUCUUCCGAGUUCCCUGGAACGGGACGCCAUAGAGGGUGAGAGCCCCGUACGGUUGGACACCCAAGCCUUUGUAAAGCUCCUUCGACGAGUCGAGUAGUUUGGGAAUGCUGCUCUAAAUGGGAGGUACAUUUCUUCUAAAGCUAAAUAUUGGCCAGAGACCGAUAGCGCACAAGUAGAGUGAUCGAAAGAUGAAAAGCACUUUGAAAAGAGGGUUAAACAGCACGUGAAAUUGUUAAAAGGGAAGCGCUUGUGACCAGACUUGCGUCCGGUGAAUCACCCAGCUCUCGCGGCUGGGGCACUUCGCCGGCACAGGCCAGCAUCAGCUUGCCGUCGGGGACAAAAGCUUCAGGAACGUAGCUCCUCUCGGGGAGUGUUAUAGCCUGUUGUAUAAUACCCUUCGGCGGGCUGAGGUACGCG